rnacentral:rRNA from 1 species
UACGUAGGUGACAAGCGUUGUCCGGAUUUACUGGGCGUAAAGAGCGCGCAGGCGGUCGUUCAAGUCGAGUGUGAAAGCCCCCGGCUCAACUGGGGAGGGUCAUUCGAUACUGAUCGACUCGAAGGCAGGAGAGGGUAGUGGAAUUCCCGGUGUAGUGGUGAAAUGCGUAGAUAUCGGGAGGAACACCGGUGGCGAAGGCGGGUCUCUGGGCAAUUCCUGACGCUGAGGCGCGAAAGCGUGGGGAGCAAACGGG